rnacentral:rRNA from 1 species
CCUACGGGUGGCAGCAGUGGGGAAUAUUGGACAAUGGGGGGAACCCUGAUCCAGCCAUGCCGCGUGUGUGAAGAAGGCCCUCGGGUUGUAAAGCACGUUCAGUUAGGAAGAACGCCUGGUGGUUAAUACCCAUCAGGAAAGACAUCACUCACAGAAGAAGCACCGGCUAACUCCGUGCCAGCAGCCGCGGUAAUACGGAGGGUGCGAGCGUUAAUCGGAAUUACUGGGCGUAAAGCGCGCGUAGGUGGCUUGAUAAGCCGGUUGUGAAAGCCCCGGGCUCAACCUGGGAACGGCAUCCGGAACUGUCAAGCUAGAGUGCAGGAGAGGAAGGUAGAAUUCCCGGUGUAGCGGUGAAAUGCGUAGAGAUCGGGAGGAAUACCAGUGGCGAAGGCGGCCUUCUGGACUGACACUGACACUGAGGUGCGAAAGCGUGGGUAGCAAACAGGAUUAGAUACCCCGGUAGUC